rnacentral:lncRNA from 1 species
GGUAAGUACCACACCAGGAACGAAAGUUUAUAAUAGAUAUAGAAGUGACAGUAUACAAGUUUUUCAACAUUUACAAUGAACAACGAUUUGGCUUCUUGCUCUAAAAUAGAAACAAUCUGCAACACUAACUUGGUGACAAUCCCACCAAUUCAACGACAAUGGAAAUCUCUACCCUUCACUCCUUUGCGACUUCUAGAAUCAAAGGCGAACUACCAUCAUUGCAGGAAAGGAAAAGAAAAUAACAACAGUUCUUGCGGUUAAAGCAUAUAUCAAGUGAAGGUAUGCCGCUUGAAUCCUUUUUCUUUCAAUAACCAUCCGUACACGGCGGCAGUAAUGCCAAGACAAAAAACUUGAUACUUUGUUCAUAGUCAUCUCAUUAUUGAAAAAGUAAAUGUAAAACUGGCCUGCAAGAUAAAAGCAUUUUCCAGUAACUGAAUGUACAUCCUAUGAUCGUUUGUGCUCUUAAUAAUCAAUUACUGGGAGUACCGCUAGAUGAAAUAUAGUGGAAACUCCAGAUCUUAUAACUUUUAGUACAUUCUCAACUAAGAUUUUAAGACAUGAGAUUAUAUGCCAAUAGUUACAUUUAAGUCAUAAAAGGCAGUAAGAAUAAGUUUUAGGACAUAGUGUGGGCUGAAACUACUUAUUUGAAAAUAGUGAAACAACUCAUUAAAUUAACUAAUUUUAAGUGAUUAAGUUUUAAGAAUUAAUACUAUACAACUAAGAGCAGGCUACAAAAUAGUGAAUCAAGAAUAUUCAACUGUAUAAAAUAUUUUAACCAACACUUCCACCAACCACCCCGGUGAAGUGAAAUAUAUAAUAUGGUCAAUCAAGCAUAUUAAAAUUAAUAUGUUAAAACUAAUAAAAGUGCACUCGGAAGGCAACCAUAAAGCAAGAACAGUAAUGAUGCACACCUUCAGAUUGACAAAUUCCAUUGUUCAUAAGAUAUGGUGGACCAAAUUUACCUUUAUUGACACCAAGGCAGAAUAGAUUGUGAAUUUGCCAUCUCAAAAAGCAACCAUUUAUCUUUAGUACCUGCAGUGACUAAACAGCAUUGCAGAGACCGCCAAGCAUCAGAUUUCCUAUCUACAAAAUUCCUUCUAAUAAAAAUUAGAUGGUCUUGAACAAUUGAAAUGAAAAUAGUUCUAUUUCUCUCGGUAGUAAUACUAUUUAGAUUGGGAUACUAUCAAGCAAAUAAAAAAAGCAAGUGGCAAAUUUUCUCAACAAACUAAGACACUUUUAGAGAGAAGUUGGGAACAGAUGUCGUAUAAGCUAGCAGCAAAAGGCAAUUUAAUCUGGCACCAAUAGUAGACAUUUCAUUGAGUUUACUCGCAUAAGAAAAAGCAGAGGAUUGAUUGUACAGACAAUAUAGAUCUACGAAUCUCCAAAUAUAAAGGAUCUUCCACUUACUUGUUUGUUCAAUCCCUAAAUAUUCCGUGGAGGUAUUUAUAACCAAUAGGUAUAGGAUUCAACAAUUUAAAAUGACUAAGAACAAUAUCUUCAAAACAAUCAAUAGACAGAUUUUUUCCUUUCCAUUUUAGAAAGUGAAAAAACACAAAUCCUAGCUGGAUAAGAGUGCUUAUAUUGAGAUAUAGAGAAGGAUCCAUGGAGUGUAGUAAUGUGACUGUAUUGCUUCUUUGGAUGUCAAUCAUUUAAGCAGAAAGAAACAAUAGACUGUUAGGCAUGAUGUGGAUAUAAUUCUCUAUGUUUAUAUAGUAUACAUAGGAUUGUUUUAAUCUGGUUGCAAUGUAAAAUGAGAUAUACACAUUUUGUCUGCACAAAUAAUGUUAAAACUAUCUACCACAGUAAGUUGAAACCGUAGGCAUAUAUCUCAAAAAAGAAAAAGAACUUCCAUCUGUAACCUAUCAACUCAGGUUGGUCGUUGUCUAGUUGUUGCUAGAACCGUGCCUUAGCCAGACCCUUCAAAAAAAUCAGGGAACAAUCACACAAUACACCAAAAUCCACACAAUUGAACGUAAACAUGCCAAGCCCCAUGUGAAAGAAAAUCCUGAGUUUGUAAAUUGAUGAGUGAGAGAAUUAAUUGACCAUUAGUUCUCUACAUUCGAUGGACUACAUCAGUACAACGUUUAUUGGGCAUGUAUACAUGUGAGAAGCGAGAGGAAGAAAUGAGGGCAUGAGGGGGCAAGAUACCUUGGGGAAGAGCUAUUGCGGCUGGACCUCACGUGUUGUGCGGCUGCCGCAAGCGUCUGGCUAUCAAUCUUCGCUUCAAAACAGCACAGUGAAUAAAACAAAAACAUAUUUUUCUUACCUAUCCAUGCUUUUACAAAAGAAGAAAAGACUGUAAGAAGUCUGAUUUAAUUACACCAUCAGCAAGAGUUUACAACUACAUAAAAGUUAGGUACACCAGAAGCAAUACAAUGCUACCAAAAGACAAGAACAUGACACUCAAACACGAAACUAUUAAGCAGAAAAAUGUUGUUGACACCAAGCAAAACACUUAGCAAAAUAACAAAUGAAAUGCCUAGAUUCCUUGUUGAACCCAAACCUUUCUCCAAAAUAGAAGGCCACCAACAGUAGCCACGAAUCGUUAUGCACCCCAAUGAGUGAUAACCAAUCUUUAUCAUUCAUACCAUCCCGGGCAAAGUUAAUUCCUAGUGCAGGCUCCCCCAGCAGCGGCACGACGCUGCGGACAGCGGCUUCCUCCUGGCGGUGUGCUCGUGGUGGGCGCUGGACAGAGAGGAGGAAGGCAGGAUGAGGGAGUGAGGAUGCGGUUAUGGAUUGGGGCUAGGGUUCAGGAGGUUGUGCCCAAAGAGCAGCAGGGCACGGGUCAAAUGGCCAGCGAAGCUUCAAAUAGGGGACCUUCCUGGGAGCGAGUUGUCCAGAGGACCUUAUAGGUUUAAAUACACAUGACCGUGAUGAACAAUUUCCUAUAAUCUCUUGUCUUGCCAGAUAACUGCUCAUACAUAUCAUUGCAGUUUUCAAUAGCUUGGAACAAACAAAUUGACAGAUAACUGCUCAUACAUAUCAUUGCAGUUUUUCAUGUGCUUCAUGGAUGCCUACCUGAAACUACUGGUAGGAGGUAAGUAACAAGUUACUUGCAUGAUGAAUGGCAUGGAGAACUGAAUCCACAAAUGCAAAUCCAUACUUGCAGGAAAACUAAUCUGCCCUCCUACCUAUUACCUAACUUUUCACAAAUUAGGUUGCAUCAAAUCAAAUAAUGGUAAAAGGCAAAGCAGAUCAUAAAGGAAGUUACCUGGUUAGCAUAUUGCAAUAUCAUCUCCUUUGUUUAUCAGAGAGAAGCCCAGCAUGGAAGGCUAUAGAUAAUCAAGAAC